rnacentral:rRNA from 1 species
GACGAACGCUGGCGGCGUGCCUAAUACAUGCAAGUCGAACGCUUCUUUUUCACCGAACUUCGGUUCAUCGAAAAAGGGGAGUGGCGAACGGGUGAGUAACACGUGGGUAACCUGCCCAUCAGAAGGGGAUAACACUUGGAAACAGGUGCUAAUACCGUAUAAUGCUUUUUCUCGCAUGAGAGCAAGCUGAAAGGCGCUUUUGCGUCACUGAUGGAUGGACCCGCGGUGCAUUAGCUAGUUGGUGAGGUAACGGCUCACCAAGGCCACGAUGCAUAGCCGACCUGAGAGGGUGAUCGGCCACACUGGGACUGAGACACGGCCCAGACUCCUACGGGAGGCAGCAGUAGGGAAUCUUCGGCAAUGGACGAAAGUCUGACCGAGCAACGCCGCGUGAGUGAAGAAGGUUUUCGGAUCGUAAAACUCUGUUGUUAGAGAAGAACAAGGAUGAGAGUAAAAUGUUCAUCCCUUGAC